AUGAAGAGGCUGCUGUGCUCUCUGCUGGGACUGCUGUGCACCCAGGUUUGCUGGGUGAAAGGGCAACAAGUGAAGCAGAGUCCUGAGUCCUUGGUUCUGCAGGAGGGAGAAAAUGCAGAGCUGCAGUGCAACUUUUCCACAGUUUUGAACAGUAUGCAGUGGUUUUACCAAAGUCCUGGGGGACACCUCAUCACCCUGUUUUAUAAUCCUUCUGGAACAAAGAAGAGUGGAAGACGGAAGUCCACGACAGUCAUUCAGGAACGCCGCAGCACUUUGUACAUUUCCUCCUCUCAGACCACAGACUCAGGCACUUAUUUCUGUGCUAUGGAUCCACAGUGA